UACGAGAGGCGCAAACGUAUUCGGAUUUACUGGGCUUAAAGAGUUCGUAGGCGGCGCAGAAAGUAGGGUGUGAAAGCCCUCGGCUCAACCGAGGAAUUGCGCUCUAAACUACUGUGCUUGAGGAAGCUAGAGGUGAGCGGAACUGAUGGUGGAGCGGUGAAAUGCGUUGAUAUCAUCAGGAACACCGGGAGGCGAAGGCGGCUCACUGGGGCUUAUCUGACGCUGAGGAACGAAAGCCAGGGGAGCGAACGGGG
rnacentral:rRNA from 1 species